rnacentral:rRNA from 1 species
AGAGUUUGAUCCUGGCUCAGGAUGAAUGCUGGCGGCGUGCCUAACACAUGCAAGUCGAGCGGUAACAGGAGUAGUUUACUACUUGCUGACGAGCGGCGGACGGCUGAGUAACGCGUGGGAACGUGCCCCAAAGUGAGGGAUAAGCUCCAGAAAUGGAGUCUAAUACCGCAUAUGAUCUUCGGAUUAAAGGAUUUAUCCGC